rnacentral:rRNA from 1 species
UCCGGUUGAUCCCGCCGGACCCUACUGCUAUCGGGGUGGGACUAAGACAUGCGAGUCAAGCGUCUCUAGCUAUGUUGAGACGCGGCAGACGGCUCAGUAACACGUGGCUAACCUACCCUCAGGACAAGGACAACCCCGGGAAACUGGGGCUAAUACUCGAUAGGCGAAGGCACCUGGAAUGGUUCUUCACCUAAAGGGCCUUGGAAACAUGCUUUCAUUGUCGCCUGGGGAUGGGGCCGCGUCCGAUCAGGCUGUUGGUGAGGUAAUGGCUCACCAAACCUAUAACCGGUACGGGCCGUGAGAGCGGUAGCCCGGAGAUGGGUACUGAGACAAGGACCCAGGCCCUACGGGGCGCAGCAGUCGCGAAAACUCCGCAAUGCACGAAAGUGUGACGGGGCUACCCCGAGUGCCAUCCGCUGAGGAUGGCUUUUCCUUGGUGUAACUAGCCGGGGGAAUAAGGAGAGGGCAAGACUGGUGUCAGCCGCCGCGGUAAUACCAGCUCUCCGAGUGGUAGGGAUGAUUAUUUGGCUUAAAGCGUCCGUAGCCGGCUUAGCAAGUCUCCUGUUAAAUUCAGCGACCUAAUCGUUGAGCCGCGGGAGAUACUACUAGGCUAGGAGGCGGGAGAGGUCGACGGUACUUCUGGGGUAGGGGUGAAAUCCUAUAAUCCCGGGAGGACCACCAGUGGCGAAGGCUGUCGACUAGAACGCGCUCGACGGUGAGGGACGAAAGCUGGGGGAGCGAACCGGAUUAGAUACCCGGGUAGUCCCAGCUGUAAACGAUGCGGGCUAGGUGUUGGGGUGGCUACGUGCCACUUCAGUGCCGCAGGGAAGCCAUUAAGCCCGCCGCCUGGGGAGUACGGCCGCAAGGCUGAAACUUAAAGGAAUUGGCGGGGGAGCACCACAAGGCGUGAAGCUUGCGGUUCAAUUGGAGUCAACGCCGGG